rnacentral:rRNA from 1 species
UACAGAGGGGGCAAGCGUUGUUCGGAAUUACUGGGCGUAAAGGGCGCGUAGGCGGCCCACUAAGUCGAACGUGAAAUCCCCGGGCUCAACCCGGGAACUGCGUCCGAUACUGGUGGGCUUGAAUCCGGGAGAGGGAUGCGGAAUUCCAGGUGUAGCGGUGAAAUGCGUAGAUAUCUGGAGGAAUACCGGUGGCGAAGGCGGCAUCCUGGACCGAGAUUGACGCUGAUGAGCGAAAGCUAGGGGAGCAAACGGG